rnacentral:lncRNA from 1 species
AUGCCCAGCGCAAGGAGGACCGAACCAAGAGGACCUGUGCUCAGCUUUGCAAAUCUGCUUCUUUAUGCUGCACGUUCUCAUCACAGAUGGUCUCACUGUCCUUGCCCACCACUACUGGCCCUGAAAUUGCAAGGCCGUGUGGACCUGGGGCUAUGGAGAUUUAUCAAUAUUUAUUUUGGCCACCUGAUGCGAAGAGCUGACUCACUUGAAAAGACCCUGAUGUUGGGAAAGAUUGAAGGCAGAAGGAGAAGGGGACGACAGAGAAUGAGAUGGUUGGAUGGCAUCACCGACUCAAUGGACAUGGGUUUGGGUAGACUCCGGGAGUUGGUGACGGACAGGGAGGCCUGGCAUGCUGUGGUUCAUGGGGUCUCAAAGAGUCGGACACAACUGAGUGGCUGAACUGAACUGAUCAAUAUUUAUACUGGUUUGGAAUUUCAGGCUGAACACUACUGAAAAUCUUAUUCCCACAGAUUACCAAUUCAACAAAAGAUCUGGAUACUUACCUAGAAGAAUUUCCUUUGCAGAGGUCACAUUUCUAAAUUCUCCUUUGUAUUGGUUUUCGACCAGGUGUUUAUAAUAUAUUAACAGCUAUGUUUGACAAACCAAAUGAACCAGUCUCUGUCUUCAUGGAGUAUAAAUUGUGAAAGAGAUGUUGACAGAUAUACAUAAAGAGGGCAACCUUUGGCUAAUGUAUUUUGUUAUU